rnacentral:rRNA from 1 species
UAAGUAGGGCGGAACACGUGAAAUUCUGUCUGAAGAUCGGGGGACCACCCCCGAAGGCUAAGUACUCCUUACUGACCGAUAGCGAACCAGUACCGUGAGGGAAAGGUGAAAAGCACCCCGACGAGGGGAGUGAAACAGUACCUGAAACCGAACGCCUACAAUCAGUUGGAGGGCCCAUGCGGCCUGACAGCGUACCUUUUGUAUAAUGGGUCAGCGACUUAUAUUUAGUAGCAAGGUUAAGCGAAUAGCGGAGCCGUAGCGAAAGCGAGUGUUAACUGCGCGUUUAGUUGCUAGGUAUAGACCCGAAACCCGGUGAUCUAGCCAUGGGCAGGUUGAAGGUUGAGUAACAUCAACUGGAGGACCGAACCGACUAACUUUGAAAAGUUAGCGGAUGACUUGUGGCUGGGGGUGAAAGGCCAAUCAAACCGGGAGAUAGCUGGUUCUCCCCGAAAUCUAUUUAGGUAGAGCCUCGGACGAACACCAUUGGGGGUAGAGCACUGUUAAGGCUAGGGGGUCAUCCCGACUUACCAACCCUUUGCAAACUCCGAAUACCGAUGAGUGCUAUCCGGGAGACACACGGCGGGUGCUAACGUCCGUCGUGAAGAGGGAAACAAC